GUGGGGAAUAUUGCGCAAUGGGCGAAAGCCUGACGCAGCAACGCCGUGUGAGGGAUGAAGGCUUUCGGGUCGUAAACCUCUGUCAGAAGGGAAGAACGGGUGAGGGUCUAACAGGCCUUUAUUUUGACGGUACCUUCAGAGGAAGCACCGGCUAACUCCGUGCCAGCAGCCGCGGUAAUACGGAGGGUGCAAGCGUUAUUCGGAAUUACUGGGCGUAAAGCGCACGUAGGCGGCCUUGUAAGUCAGGGGUGAAAUCCCACGGCUCAACCGUGGAACUGCCCUUGAAACUGCGGGGCUUGAAUCCUGGAGAGGGUGGCGGAAUUCCUGGUGUAGGAGUGAAAUCCGUAGAUAUCAGGAGGAACACCGGUGGCGAAGGCGGCCACCUGGACAGGCAUUGACGCUGAGGUGCGAAAGUGUGGGGAGCAAACAGGAUUAGAAACCCUGGUAGUCC
rnacentral:rRNA from 1 species